rnacentral:tRNA from 3 species
CGGGAUGUAGCGCAGCUUGGUAGCGCACCGACUUCGGGAGUCGGGGGCCGCAGGUUCAAAUCCUGUCAUCCCGA